CAUGAAUAAACAUUGAGGAGACAUCAUGAAUCAAAAACUAGAAGCUAACUUGGAGAAACUUCAAUCCCUCAUUGUUCCUGACGGUUCUCUGAAAGAUCAGGGAUACAAACCUAAAACCUGGCUGAUGGUCAAAAUGUUUGGGGUCUUUGGAACGAUAGUCUGUACCAUGAUGCCAAUUGGUUACUCGUGGUUUUUCAAAGGCUUGCUGGGUGAGAAGUUUCCCAGCAUUGAGAAAUUCCCCCUCCUGACUCUCACCCCCCAUCCUUCUUUAGAUGCCAAUGACCAUACUAAAAC